AUUUUCAUAGCUUACAUAAAAGCACAACACUGAAGAUGUUAAGACGGCCCCAGGCCCAAAAAUA
rnacentral:tRNA from 1 species